AUGUGAGAAAGAAACAAACAUCCAAAGUAAAAGAAUGAAGAUAGUUUUUUUUUUUUUUGGUCAUCAUGAAGAUAGUUUCUUUAGCUUGAUUUUCUUAUUGUGCAAUGGUUGGAAAUCAAUUUUUUUGAAUCCCAUCGAUAAAAUAAUUUUCUUAUAACCAUAAAAUAUUAUUAUACAUAUGUAUUACAUUUAAAAAUAUAAAGAAAACAAUGAAGAAAUGAAAAAUACAUAUAAACAAAAAAUAAAUAAAAUUGAAAACAAAAGUUUAAACCAAAUAUUUAAUCAAACUCUUACAAUGACAUCUUAAUUGAGUUUUCACCCAUGCAAGAACUUUUUAAAAAAA
rnacentral:lncRNA from 1 species